rnacentral:tRNA from 1 species
GCCGGGGUGGCUCAGUCUGGCAGAGCGCCGGACUCAUAAUCCGUAGGUCUCGGGUUCGAAUCCCGAUCCCGGCA